rnacentral:lncRNA from 1 species
UUUCCUCUCUCUUCUCUCUCUUAUUUUAUGUUUGUUUCUUUCAUUGAGGACAAUGCAUAUUUUAAGUGUGGGGGAGGGAAUACUUUAUUUUCUUGGUUUUUGUUCUUUGUUUUGUUUUGUUUUUGUUUUCUUUCUAAAAAAAUGCAUUUUUGUUGAAAGUUUUAGGCUAUAGAAUAAUUUGAGGUUGGUUUGUAGAGACUUGGGAAAAGUUCACAAGAUCGGUAUCAUUUUAACACCUUA